UACGUAGGGUGCGAGCGUUAAUCGGAAUUACUGGGCGUAAAGCGUGCGCAGGCGGUUUCACAAGCUCGAUGUGAAAGCCCCGGGCUUAACCUGGGAAUGGCAUUGAGGACUGUGAAGCUCGAGUGCGGCAGAGGGAGGUGGAAUUCCACGUGUAGCAGUGAAAUGCGUAGAGAUGUGGAGGAACACCGAUGGCGAAGGCAGCCUCCUGGGCCGACACUGACGCUCAUGCACGAAAGCGUGGGGAGCAAACAGG
rnacentral:rRNA from 1 species